AAAUUGAAGAGUUUGAUCAUGGCUCAGAUUGAACGCUGGCGGCAGGCCUAACACAUGCAAGUCGAACGGUAACAGGAAGCAGCUUGCUGCUUUGCUGACAAGUGGCGGACGGGUGAGUAAUGUCUGGGAAACUGCCUGAUGGAGGGGGAUAACUACUGGAAACGGUAGCUAAUACCGCAUAACGUCGCAAGACCAAAGAGGGGGACCUUCGGGCCUCUUGCCAUUGGAUGUGCCCAGAUGGGAUUAGCUAGUAGGUGGGGUAACGGCUCACCUAGGCGACGAUCCCUAGCUGGUCUGAGAGGAUGACCAGCCACACUGGAACUGAGACACGGUCCAGACUCCUACGGGAGGCAGCAGUGGGGAAUAUUGCACAAUGGGCGCAAGCCUGAUGCAGCCAUGCCGCGUGUAUGAAGAAGGCCUUCGGGUUGUAAAGUACUUUCAGCGGGGAGGAAGGGAGUAAAGUUAAUACCUUUGCUCAUUGACGUUACCCGCAGAAGAAGCACCGGCUAACUCCGUGCCAGCAGCCGCGGUAAUACGGAGGGUGCAAGCGUUAAUCGGAAUUACUGGGCGUAAAGCGCACGCAGGCGGUUUGUUAAGUCAGAUGUGAAAUCCCCGGGCUCAACCUGGGAACUGCAUCUGAUACUGGCAAGCUUGAGUCUCGUAGAGGGG
rnacentral:rRNA from 1 species